AAUAUCCCACCAUCAGCUACUGGCUUUGUAACCAUUUCAUCACUUUCAUGUCCUUCUGAAAAAGAGAAGUAGUCAUUCUCCAGUGCAAUUAUCUCUGCUUUAAGCAGUCAAGAUAAGAGGCCAUGCUAAUUUAAAUCUGUCUUUGGAGGACUUUUUUCAUAAUGAAUUUUCCAAUUCUCUUCUCCAUCCUGCCAAGGUGAUACAUAAGCAACUGCAUAGUGUUUUUUUAUGAACUGUGUCAACAAACUGCAGAGGGUAGCAGGUUGUUUCUAAUGACUAAUCAUGCUUUUGAAGUCUUUAACUUGAACAUAAAAGGAGUCAUAAAACCAUUAAUAUUAUAUUUUCCUUGAUUUUUUCUUUGUUGAUGUUUUGUUUUAAGCUAGAAAAUAGCAUCUGAUCCUGAAUCGAGUUCCACUGAAAAUAUUAAAAUUUACUGUUAACAUCUAAAGAGAUAAGAAAGCCUGAUGAUGUUAUGAGAGAAUUAGCACUAAAAUUUGUUUUUACUCUUGAUCCUGUUAGUUGAUGGAUCUUGCCGCCUGCCAAUAUUAUGCUUACUUUCUAACUUCAACCUUUUGUUAGACAGAAUUUCUUAUUUACAUUUUAAGUAUGUUAAGUAAUACUGAAUCAUGCAAAAUGGAAAUGUGCUAAAAUACAGUUAAAAACACACAGUUAAAUCAUGCUUUCAUUUGAAGAAAAGUUUGUAGUAUAUAAAUAACUCCAAGGAGCUACAUUUUUUUGUGCAUUUCAGCAGAAUAUUUC